AAAAUUCACACCUGGAGGCUCCAGAGGCCAUUUUUUAUUUAUUCACCUGCCCAGGUGUGUGGGGACACCUGAGCUGCUAAAGAGGGGGGAGGGGCCAGGUGAGAGCGGCCAGGUGAGAGGUUCAGGUAAGGAUUCCAAGUGAGGAUUCCAGGUGAGGUUCAGAUGAGGAUCCAGGUGAGGAUUCCAGGUGAGAGGUUCAGGUGAGGAUUCCAGGUGAGAGCAGCCAGGUGAGCGUGGCCAGGUAAGGAUUCCAGGUGAGAGGUCCCAGGUGAAGUUCAGGUGAGGAUUGCAGGUGAGAGCAGCCAGGUAACGAUCCAGGUAAGGAUCCAGGUGAAGAUUCCAGGUGAGAGGUUCAGGUAAGAGAUUCCAGGUGAGGGAUUCCAGGUGAGAGGAGCCAGGUGAGAUUCCAGAUGAGGUUCAGGUGCAGAUUCCAGGUGAGAGCAGCUAGGUGAGAGGUUCAGGUGAGGGAUUCCACAUGGGGAUUCCAGGUGAGGAUUCAGGUGAGAUGUUCAGGUGAGAGCAGCCAGGUGAGAGAUUUCAGGUGAGGAUUCCGGGUGAGGGUUGCAGGUGAGGGCGGCCAGGUGAGAGAUUCAGGUGGAGAUUGCAGGUGAGAGCAGCCAGGUGAGGAUUCCUGGUGAGAGCAGCCAGGUGAGAGUGACCAGGUAAAGUUCAGGUGAGGAUUCCAGGUGAGGAUUCCAGGUAAAGUUCAGGUGAGGAUUCCAGGUGAAGUUCAGGUAAGGAUUCCAGGUGAGCAUGGCCAGGUGAGGUUCAGGUGAGGAUUCCAGGUGAGAGAUCCCAGGUGAAAUCCCAGGUGAGAGCGGCCAGGUGAGGGUUUUCAGGUGAGGAUUCCAGGUGAGAGAUCCCAGGUGAGAUUUCCAGGUGAGAGCAGCCAGGUGAAGUUCAGGUGAGAGAUUCAGGUGCAGAUUCCAGGUGAGAGCAGCCAGGUGAGAGGUUCAGGUGAGGAUCCAGGUGAGGAUUCCAGGUGAGGUUCAGGUGAGGAUUCCAGGUGAGGGUGACCAGGUGAGGAUUCAGGUGAGAUGUUCAGGUGAGAGCAGCCAGGUGAGAGAUUUCAGGUGAGGAUUCCGGGUGAGGGUUGCAGGUGAGGGCGGCCAGGUGAGAUUGCAGGUGAGAGGUUCAGGUGCAGAUUCCAGGUGAGAGGUUCAGGUGAGGAUUCCAGGUGAGGGUGACCCGGUGAGGAUUCAGGUGAGAUGUUCAGGUGAGAGCAGCCAGGUGAGAUUCCAGGUGAGGUUCAGGUGACAAAUUCCAGGUGAGGGCAGCCAGGUGAGGAUUCCAGGUGAAGUUCAGGUGAGAGAUUCCAGGUGAAAGAUUCCAGGUGAGAGCAGCCAGGUGAGAGGUUCAGGUGAAAGAUUCCAGGUGAGGGCGGCCAGGUGAGGAUUCAGGUGAGAGCAGCCAGGUGAGAGUGGCCAGGUAAAGUUCAGGCCAGGAGAUUCAGGUGAGGAUUCCAGGUGAGAGAUCCCAGGUGAGAUUUCCAGGUGAGAGCAGCCAGGUGAAGUUCAGGUAAGGAGUCCAGGUGAGGUUCAGGUGAGAGAUUCAGGUGAGGUUCAGGUGAGGUUCAAGAUGAGAGCAGCCAGGUGAGGUUCAGGUGAGGACUCCAGGUGAGAGCGGCCAGGUGAGAGUGGCCAGGUGAGAAGUUCAGGUAAGAGAUCCCAGGUGAGAGCAGCCAGGUGAGCUUUGCCAGGUGCGGAUUCCAGGUGAGAGUGGCCAGGUGAGCGUGGCCAGGUGAAGUUCAGGUGAGAGAUUUCAGGCGAAAGAUUCCAGGUGAGAGCAGCCAGGUGAGAAUGGUCAGGUAAAGUUCAGGUGAGGAUUCCAGGUGAGGGAUCCCAGGUGAGAUUUCCAGGUGAGAGCAGCCAGGUGAAGUUCAGGUGAGGACUCCAGGUGAGAGCGGCCAGGUGAGAGGUUCAGGUGAGAGAUUCCACAUGGGGAUUCCAGGUGAGAGCAGCCAGGUGAAGUUCAGGUGAGGACUCCAGGUGAGAGCGGCCAGGUGAGAGGUUCAGGUGAGAGAUUCCACAUGGGGAUUCCAGGUGAGAGCAGCCAGGUGAGCGUUGCCAGGUGCGGAUUCCAGGUGAGAGUGGCCAGGUGAGCGUGGCCAGGUGAAGUUCAGGUGCGAGAUUCAGGUGAGGAUUCCAGGUGAGAGAUCCCAGAUGAAGUUCAGGUGAGAGCAGCCAGGUGAGAUUCCAGGUGAGGUUCAGGUGAAAGAUUCCAGGUGAGGGCAGCCAGGUGAGAGGUUCAGGUGAGAGAUUCCAGGUGAGGGUGACCAGGUGAGGAUUCAGGUGAGAGCAGCCAGGUGAGAGUGGCCAGGUGAAGUUCAGGUGAGGACUCCAGGUGAGAGAUCCCAGGUGAGAUUUCCAGGUGAGAGCAGCCAGGUGAAGUUCAGGUGAGGACUCCAGGUGAGAGCGGCCAGGUGAGAGGUUCAGGUGAGGGAUUCCAGGUGAGGUUCAGGUGAGGAUUUGCAGGUGAGAGUGGCCAGGUGAGGAGCCAGGUGAGGGAUUCCAGGUGAGAGUGGCCAGGUGAGAGGUUCCAGUCCCCAGCUGAGCCCCACCAGGUGAGUUCCAGGUGAGCCCCACCAGGUGAGUUCCAGCUGAACUCCACCAGGUGAGUUCCAGCUGAACUC